rnacentral:rRNA from 1 species
GUGGGGAAUAUUGGACAAUGGGCGAAAGCCUGAUCCAGCCAUGCCGCGUGUGUGAAGAAGGUCUUCGGAUUGUAAAGCACUUUAAGUUGGGAGGAAGGGCAGUAAGUUAAUACCUUGCUGUUUUGACGUUACCGACAGAAUAAGCACCGGCUAACUUCGUGCCAGCAGCCGCGGUAAUACGAAGGGUGCAAGCGUUAAUCGGAAUUACUGGGCGUAAAGCGCGCGUAGGUGGUUUUGUAAGUUGGAGGUGAAAUCCCCGGGCUCAAACUGGGAACUGCCUCCAAAACUGCAUGACUAGAGUACGGUAGAGGGUAGUGGAAUUUCCUGUGUAGCGGUGAAAUGCGUAGAUAUAGGAAGGAACACCAGUGGCGAAGGCGACUACCUGGACUGAUACUGACACUGAGGUGCGAAAGCGUGGGGAGCAAACAGGAUUAGAUACCCCGGUAGUCC